UGAGAAACGGGCAUUUUCUUCAGCAAUCUUAAGAAUUUAAAAGCUAGGAUCUUGGACUGUGAAGAAGGGCUAAAAAGUUCUUCAGACAUGGCAGUGGUGGAAUGGCAUGGUAUAGCCCAAUCUCACCAGACCUCGGGUGAGAUGGGAGAGCAUCAAGGAAAACCGAGGUUGCUA